rnacentral:lncRNA from 1 species
CUGCUGCCACUGGGCUACUUAGUACUUUCCCGGGUAGAAGUGACUGUGCCACCAAUUUUCUGUGUGGCCUUCACUAAAUCAUUCUCGGUCUUUCUUUCAUAUCUUUGCAGUAUAGUAGGAUUAUUUUUAAAUAGUCCCCUUUAAAUAUUUUUAAAAUGUGCCCAUGCUAAUAAAUUCAUUCUUUAGUCUUUCAAGAUUGUACAUUUGAACAUCUGAAUAUCACUAAUAUUACUCAUCUGUUAUGCUGUUCCAUCUCUUGAGAUACUGUAUCACUAAAUGUGAUACAAUUUAGAAACAUUAUAUCAUAUGGUGAACAACACUAUAAAGACGACUUUUCAAAUUUCUAUUAACAUAGGCCUAUAACUGAAGAACUAAACAUUUUUGAAUAAAUAAUGUUGCCAAUAACAUUUUCUACAUAUUUUGGUCUUGCAAUCAAUGUGAGGAAUGCACAGUUGGAUCUGGAUACUCAGAGCAAUUUAUUUCCUCUUACAAGUCUACCAUUGAUAGUUUAAAUGCUAAUGGCCAAGAUAUACAAGCCAAAGGGUCCGUGGUGUGAAUGCAGGGCUUGCCUGAUCACCAGACUCCCUUCCCAACCUCUCCUCUGAAGAAGGAGAAAGUUCUUGAAAAAGCUCAAAAAUGCGUUUUGGCAAGCACAAGAGAUGCAGCCUAGCAGCAUGAAUUAAGAGACUUGUGACCGUGGAAAAGAACUGUAAAUUUUAAAUGGCUUUGGCCCUUCUUAGCUUUUGACCAGCUGACCUUGACAUUCCUUAGAGGCCAAAGGAUAAGAUGCAGUGAAGACAGUGCUGCCUAGCCAUUUCCCCUCAGGGGGCAGCACCAGUCCUUCCAGCAGUGGAUGAAGUCUAUCCAGUGUGUCUUGGGGAGAACUGUAAUAAAUGAGGCUCCCUCCCUGAGAAAUGACUAAAACCACGAAAAUAAAUUCUUAGAUGAAACAGUUCAAUUAUCUAAUGUAAUUACUCCUAAGGAAAAAAUGAGAGAAAUUUAUCAUAGCUACAUGAAGUUUCCAAUGUGGUUAUAUAUGACUGUGUAUAGUCAACAGUUAUUCAUCUGGCGUUCUGUCAAACAGAGUUUUCUAUAAUAUGGUAUCUGUGACUGUUUCCAAUACAAUAAAAAUGCUGCAAAAUCUUGAAAUGCUUUUCAAAAGAAGAAUACUUUAUAGUAUAGUGUGUACAGCUGUAGUAUUGAGCUUAUUUUGCUGUACUUUAUUAAUCUUUUCCAAAACAUGUAAAUAAUGAAGUUUGUUGCACACCACAUCUGGAUUUCAUGAUUAUACUGUAAGACUUAUAUAGUAGAUGGCCCUUCAUUUAGGGAAGUAGUAUAUACACCAGAAUAUGCCUUUUCUUUUUAAGAUUUAAACAACGGAAAAAGCCACUGAAGUAUGUAUAGUAUCUGUGCGCCGAGAUACACAGGAAAGCAUGGAACAUGUGGAUGGAAGGAACCGGGAUCAUCUCAUCCAGCUGAGUAAUAAGUACGUUUGGUGCAGUGCCACACAGGAGGCCACCAACAGAGCCCAGAGUAGUAACUAGGUUGCUUCACUCUUAGCCUCUCAAGUGAUGACACCAAGGCAUGAUCUUAUCUCUUGAUUGUGGCCACCCGUAAAGAAAAGCGUAUCUCUAAUCUCAGAAGCACAAGGAGUUCAUACCAGGAAACCAAGAUUACUAAGUCGGCCAGAGCAUUCUAGAAAUCACCUUAAAAACGCAUCCCUCUUCUCCUACUGGAGUUUAUACAAUGACAAAAAUCUGAUCUGGCUUUUUCAAAAAGCAAACAACAAAACAUCCAAACAACAUAACCCUGAGUCUUUAACAGAAAGCUGGUGCUUGCACCAGGGGCGUGCAGACGUCUGGAACGCAUUACAAUCAGCUCCCUAAGGGGCAGCUUAUCUCUUCCUCUGAUGCUAUCGGUUUGCCAAGGAAAGUUAAAGACAAAAGUCAACUGUUGCACCCAGUUGGAAUGUGAACAUGUGGGAGAACCUGAAAUAUACUAAGACUAAUUUAUGUUCCGAUGGGAGUGGCUCUCAUGGUAAGGACUGAAGCAGUAUAUCCUGCUUUUUUAACGAAUUUUUUAACGAAAAAAAUUCUCACAGCCUGCAGGAAGAGCUACAAAAUAACCCCCUCUCAUCUUUACUGACUGUAGUUAGUACUCUCGUGUUGCAUUUUAGGGAAAGUUCAUUUGUGUCUGCAGUGGACUUCGAAGUUAAUCAUACCACAAAACUGUAGAGAAUGAACAUCUUGAAAUUAUUUCAGAAAUAAGAGCUCCAGGUAGCCUUUGAGAUUGGUAAAGUUUAGAAAUAAAGUAUACUUACAAAGCUGCAUCUUAUGACGUUGCAAAAGACUGAUUUAGGAUCAUUAUUUGGUGUGAAAUACAUUUUGCCAAUGUAAGCCUUUCCUUUCAACUGUUUAAGGCAUAGAAUACUAGUACAUUCUACAUUUAAUGUUUGAAUUCUACCAGUUUUAGAGCUCAGAACUCAAAUUAGCAUCGUUCUAAGUUUGACAAUAACCCUCUUUUUGCUUUUAAUAGUGUCUCCCUUCAUGUACUGAGUGUGCCUACGUUUUCCUCGAAUUGUUUUCUCAUCAGUGGUGGUGUGAGAAGCCUUCUUUUAGGAGAAAAAACACAGAACACCACCAAGUAGAUCUGUGUCUAAGAUGGCCAGUGCAUUCGGCACACUCUCUGGGCUGACAGGCACUGAACAAUGGCUCUUGCUCAAUAGGCCUGGUUUCCAGUCACUGACAACAACGAUCAGUACCUUCAAUCUCUAAAUUACACAAAUUUACAGCUUUGAUUUUUAGUCUUAGAAGCCAUCAAGGACAGGCCCCAGGACAAAACAAAGUGGCUGGCUCCCAUCUGCUGAGUAAGCAGAAGGGACAGUGGAGGAGUUCCUCUCAGUUUGCUUCACUUUCACUUU